rnacentral:lncRNA from 1 species
UUAUUUCUAGGUAGACUCUAACAGGGCUUUCUUGUGAGGACAGAUUAUUAAAGAAAAAAUAAGAUAUGUGUACAGGAGACACGGGAACUCAUUUAUCUUUGAAAUAGCACCUUCCAAUUUGUGGAUUCUCCACUGCAUUUGAUGAAGUAAAUAAAUCCAUUCCCUUCCAACUCCACAAGUCCUUGGGCCAUAGUUUCACUCUGGAUCCAUUUUACCUUCAUAUUGAGACAACUAACUGGGUAAGUCCACAGGAAGGCUCCAAGCGACUCAGGCUGUGGAGGUCUGAGUUACGACUAAUAUGUGUCUCCUUAGCCAGUGGUUUAUUCUUGCACACAGAGGCAUCUCCAGUUCCCUCUCUGCUUACCUCAGCAGUACAGAAAGAGUUUUCUUUUCCGAGAGGAGCUAGUUGCUAGUAAAUACUGCACCCAAACUGUAGGAGGCUGCCCUAGAAUCUACCACACAAUCAUGAGAGGUUGGGGCAGAGAGGUGGGUUAGAAGUCCUGUCUCAUUCCUGUUUCACAGAAGAAAGAUGGGGUGAUGUCCCAAGGCCAGCUCUAAAGACUGAUAAUCCAUGUUGAGGCUUGAUUGCUGUGUCAUGGCUACCUAUAACUUGCCAGAUUCAGAUUCUGAAAACCCAUCUAUCCUGAGUUCCUCAACUGUCCAUCAGCUGGCACCUUAACAUAUCAAUUCCAGUCCUUGGCUAGUCCAGGCACCAGGGCUAGCCCUACCUUUACUAAUCAGACUUUGUCUUGUUAGAAGGCCACAUCUGCCUUUCUUAGUCUUUCAGAGCCCCCAAACAAGUGGGCCCUUCAUAAUUUUUUUUUAAAUGAGAGCAAUGAUUGCCCUAGUCAGUGUGGUGGGGCCCUCCCUUGCUGAGGAAAACCAGUGGUGGUUGCUAAGCAACAUUUAGAAGGUCUAGAUUGGUUUCUGAUCCUGGAUGACCUCCAUUUGUGUACUUCGCCAUGUGUAUUUUAUGGCUACCUUUGGAUGACUUUGGACAACUUUGUUUUUGGUAUGCAUUGGCCUGCCCUUAGUAAUAGGAUCACAGGAGAAUUCAUUUAGGCGUGGAUAUAAGGGAGAUGGUAUUCCUCUGUUUACUUGCAUGAGCACACUGACCCCUUCUGUAAAGAUACAGAAGGUGUGUAGUUUACUUAGCCCCAUGGCUAAAAACCACCAUCCUCUACCACACAGACUGAUGAACCGCGAAUCCCAACAGGUUUCUAUGACAAAGAAAAGUUAUAUGAAGGACAGAGGGGAAACAAAGUAUCUUGCCAUAUAUGAUUCAUUUUUGGCCUGCUCUCGUCUCCUGAACAGAGCAGCCAACCAAACCACUAAAUAGUCCUCCUUACCCUCUUCAGACUGUUAAAUGAGGAUUAGUGGGUGGAUCCUAGUAGGUCUGACUCUUCUUCUAGAAUGAAAGUUGAUUGAAACCCUAAGAGAACUUGUGUUUGCUCUUUUGCUUGCUUUUUCCCCAACUGCUUUGCAUGGCCAUUUGAGGUGUCCCAUUGGUGUUUGUUGAAAACAUGACAGAAUGGUUUGAUUGAGGUGGGACAGUCCUAGUGGACUCCAAAAUGUUUGCAAGUAUUUCAGAGAUAUCAAAGAAACCAAAAUGCCUGGCUAUUAUAUCUAUUAUAUUUGGCUAAAUUUUGUGCAGGGGGUGGGGUGGAGGAUUAGAUACGAGAUCAUUAGUCUCUAAGCUUUUAUGUAAGAUAUGUUUACUGUAGUUUAAAGUUUGUUACUUUGCGAAACACUAGCAGACCAAUCAGUACUCAUUAAGCUGUCUUUCCCAACUUCCCAGUCUUCAGUAAGAGCUAGUUUCAUGGCUUGGAGAGGCCAUAGUGACAGGGUUAUAUCUUAACACAUAACUUGGAAUUUAUGCAAUUCACCUGGAGUUCAAAAUUGCACUGAGGUUCAACAUGUAGUCUAAAAGCAGAAAUGAUUGACCCAGAGGUGUCGGGCUACACUUGAAAACAUACACACAUACACAAGCAGGAAUACCCAGAAAGACAGUGGUUGUAUCUCUGAGGACAGUGGGAGGUACAGUGAGCCAACAGGCAGAGACUCAGGUUCAGCCUCGCUUCACCUCAAAAGGCAUCUCUCUGGGGAAGCAAUGGUUUGACCUGAGUCUUAGAUGCCUGAAGUGAAGCUAUUGUCAGAGGCAGGAUGCUCAUUUGGAAAGGGAAUUGCCUCACAGGAAAGAGAGCCAAUUACAAGUUCGGGCUGUUGCCAUGGUGCUUUGCUGAUCCUUCAACAUGCAAUACAGGAACUCCGAGGAAGGCUAGGAAAUAGGAUGUAGGGGAGGUGGGGAGAAAUGAAGUCAGCUAGGGCAAGGCAUCCCACUGCCUGCACUGUAAUGCUGACAAGAAGAGGCUGGCAGGGGAGCCAGGAAAAGAAUGUCAUUUUCAGCAUGUCCUGGGUUGCUAAAAUGAAACUAAAAUAAUUUAACUCUGAGACAUUUCUAGCAUGAAUUAUAAGACGUAACAGCCGUAAAAUAUCAAAUAAGCAUAACGCCAGAUAAAUCGUUGUUCAUGCAGCAAAUGCUAUCUCAGAUUUUCUAGCGUACUCCGGACCCUACACGGAAAGGUUAUGAAUUUAAUCCAUUUGCAGAAUAUGAUGUAAUAAGCAUAUUAAUGAACUUACUGAGUGCAGAAAAUUGCACACUGCAUAUGAAGUACUUUUUGAACCAAAUAAAUUAAUUCCAUCCCCAUUCAGUCCACGGGGAAAAGAGACUAAUGCAUCGGCACCCAGUUGGUGGGCAAAUAAUGUACCAAAAGCUGGUAGGAAAGAAAUUCUCCUACCCUGGAAGCCAAGUCAGAAAGCAGUUACAGUUCUAACCUUUUCCAAUUU